CUGCCAGAAUGGACCAAGCUGACAGCUUCGCAGAGCGUUGGCUGAGGGUGUGGGACCGCGACCCGCAAUCGCCAAGGCUAGAGGGGUCGAUCUGGACCAACCGAUGUCAGAGGGCUCCCUAGGUGGGAGGAUGCUCCGGACCCGCCCCGGGAGCCUCCCUUCUCCGAGCAGAAGGAAGGGCGCUCAAACGCGUGCACACUCAAACACACACACAAACACAAACAUCCUUCCCGUGGAGUUGUGUCUCGUCUCCCUUUUGUUUUUCUCCCUUCCCGGUCAAGAGACCCGGAAGUUUUUUUUUUUUUUUUUUAAAUCCAGUCUCUCUCUUUUCCAACCCCCACCCCCCCCUCAUCUAUCACAUGGCAGAGAUAGAAUAAAAACAGAAAAAUGGCGACGGUCACGUUGUGGCGAGCACGUUGUAUCCUUGCUGCGUCAUUAGAUAAUCCUCAUGCAAAUAGCGGGAAGAACAAAGGAAAGGGGGGGUCCAGGACCCCCCCGGGGGCGCAGAUGUAGGAAUAGAAGCUCUGAGUGGUGGACUCUGCAGGAGAGGACUGUGCUUGUGUUUCCGCACCAGCCCAAGGCUCUAGAAGUGGAGACUCUCCAUCAGAGUGGUAACAGCAGAAGGACGGUGCUGCAGCGGUCUCUGGGAAGAGAGGGCCGAUUAAAGGGAGCUUGUGGAUCUCCUCGACUUGCAGGCUCUGUGGAGGGAGCACACUUCAUAAAUCCUGAUGGACUGAUUUUUGGCUACAUCCUCAGAUUUGUACGAAGAACUGUUUUGAGUGAAUCAGUGUGUCUUUGUUUGCAUCUUCUGGAAUCCUGAAGACUGAGCCAAGGAGUUAGCAAGGCUGAGCCCUGUACUGAGCAUUUAAUCAGUUGAACACUUCCUUAUGUUUCCCUGGUUUGUGCUCAUAACAAGUGACCUUCGUCCAACUCCUCGCAACACACGAUUGUGGAAUGUUCCCUCCUGAGGAACAUGCUUUGUUUUUUUCAUUGUGAACACACUGAAAAUCUCUGAAAAUUCAAAUGAGUUUGGACAGUGGUAAUAAUGUAAGCUAACUGUACCUGCUGUGUGCCCAGUAUUCUACAUAUGUAUUAUGUUCUGCAUAUGUAUUCAGUUAGUGUUUACAUGCUAACUGUUCCAACAGCCCUGGUCAAAUGGGGGCGGGGGCAGGGGAACUAAGGCUUAGAAAAAUGUGGUCACUUACCUGAGUUAACUUGUUCAAGCCUCAGCUUCUGCAUCCUUAUAUUUACUGCAGAUUCAUAUCAGCAUCCUUGUACAAGUGAGGCAGUGCUAGAACCCCAAAGUCAUAAUAUUUUCAUUGAUUCCUUUCUUCUACCUGUAAACACUGUUGGGACCUUUUGGUUUUGAUUUUGAAUACACAUUACCUAUUCAAUAAUUCAGGAGUGGAAUGAUGCACAUGUAAUUCUGAGUCCUGAGAAUUCAGAAGCCCCCAUGGUAAUAAAAAGCUAACAUUGAUUAAAGACUUUCUGCA
rnacentral:lncRNA from 1 species